AACGAACGCUGGCGGCGUGCUUAACACAUGCAAGUCGAGCGAGAAAGGGGGCUUCGGCUCCUGAGUAAAGCGGCGCACGGGUGAGUAACACGUGGGUAACCUGCCUUUCAGUGGGGGAUAACAGUUCGAAAGGGCUGCUAAUACCGCAUUCGUCCACACGGUCACAUGUCUGUGUGGAGAAAGAGGCGCAAGUCUCGCUGGAAGAUGGGCCCGCGGUCCAUUAGCUAGUUGGUGGGGUAAAGGCCUACCAAGGCUUCGAUGGAUAGCUGGUCUGAGAGGAUGAUCAGCCACACUGGAACUGAGACACGGUCCAGACUCCUACGGGAGGCAGCAGUGGGGAAUAUUGCGCAAUGGGCGAAAGCCUGACGCAGCAACGCCGCGUGUGUGAUGAAGGCC
rnacentral:rRNA from 1 species